rnacentral:rRNA from 1 species
UACGUAGGGGGCUAGCGUUGUCCGGAAUCAUUGGGCGUAAAGCGCGCGUAGGCGGCCCGGUAAGUCCGUUGUAAAAGUCCAGGGCUCAACCCUGGAAAGCCGAUGGAUACUGCCGGGCUAGAGUCCGGAAGAGGCGAGUGGAAUUCCUGGUGUAGCGGUGGAAUGCGCAGAUAUCAGGAGGAACACCAAUAGCGAAGGCAGCUCGCUGGGACGGCACUGACGCUGAGGCGCGAAAGCGUGGGGAGCAAACAGG